GGGGAUGUAGCUCAGUUGGCAGAGCGCCUGAUUUGCAUUCAGGAAGUCGCAGGUUCGACUCCUGUCAUCUCCACCA
rnacentral:tRNA from 2 species